rnacentral:rRNA from 1 species
AUUGAACGCUGGCGGCAGGCCUAACACAUGCAAGUCGAGCGGAUGAAGGGAGCUUGCUCCUGGAUUCAGCGGCGGACGGGUGAGUAAUGCCUAGGAAUCUGCCUGGUAGUGGGGGAUAACGUCCGGAAACGGGCGCUAAUACCGCAUACGUCCUGAGGGAGAAAGUGGGGGAUCUUCGGACCUCACGCUAUCAGAUGAGCCUAGGUCGGAUUAGCUAGUUGGUGGGGUAAAGGCCUACCAAGGCGACGAUCCGUAACUGGUCUGAGAGGAUGAUCAGUCAAACUGGAACUGGGAAACGGUUCAGACUCCUAAGGGAGGCAGCAGUGGGGAAUAUUGGACAAUGGGCGAAAGCCUGAUCCAGCCAUGCCGCGUGUGUGAAGAAGGUCUUCGGAUUGUAAAGCACUUUAAGUUGGGAGGAAGGGCAGUAAGUUAAUACCUUGCUGUUUUGACGUUACCAACAGAAUAAGCACCGGCUAACUUCGUG